GCUUCCAGAACUUCCUCAAUGUACCUUUAUUUCCAUACUGUAUGAUAAUCAGUUCGGUAUGAUGUUGAUCCACCCUAUACCACAACUGUCUAUGAAAAGGCUUUUAUGUAUAGCACAUAAAGCAAAGCGUUUCCACACACACACACACACACACACACACUGUCCCGGUCAUCUGAUUGACACAAACCAAACCGACAUUCAUCCGUGAAAAGAACAGCUGUUCAAGUGUCCAAAGCUCGCCCUUACAUUACGGACUGUUUGGAGUUGGCUUGAAGGAAGCCUUUAAAUGAAAGGUAGAGCAAUAAAAUGAGCCUCUAGCUGGAGUACAUCACGGUUGACUAUUACCUUCUUUUUUUUUUUUUUUUUUUUUAAGCUUACAAGCUACCUACAUCGGUCUUUGGCCAAAACAUCUGCUUUUUUUAAUGUACUCAUUCAUUUUAUAUAUAUAUAUUGUUAUUUGAGUGUAAAAGAGAUCAAUACUUCAUUCAUUUGCCACUUAUUAUUAUGAAUUAACUUGCUCUGUGAAUUAAAUCAGUAUAUGUAAACAAUAAUCUGUUUCCAAAUAUACUGGAAGGAAUU